rnacentral:rRNA from 1 species
GAUUAUGGCUCAGGAUGAACGCUAGCUACAGGCUUAACACAUGCAAGUCGAGGGGUAGCAGGGUAGCAAUACCGCUGACGACCGGCGCACGGGUGAGUAACGCGUAUCCAACCUUCCCCUUAGUAGGGCAUAGCCCGGCGAAAGUCGGAUUAAUACCCUAUGUUAUCCGUCGAGGACAUCUGAAGUGGAUUAAAGAUUUAUCGCUAAGGGAUGGGGAUGCGUCUGAUUAGGUUGUUGGCGGGGUAACGGCCCACCAAGCCUACGAUCAGUAGGGGUUCUGAGAGGAAGGUCCCCCACAUUGGUACUGAGACACGGACCAAACUCCUACGGGAGGCAGCAGUGAGGAAUAUUGGUCAAUGGGCGAGAGCCUGAACCAGCCAAGUAGCGUGCAGGAUGACGGCCCUAUGGGUUGUAAACUGCUUUUGCAUGGGAAUAAAGUCGGGGACGUGUCCCCGUUUGUAUGUACCAUGAGAAUAAGGACCGGCUAAUUCCGUGCCAGCCGCCGC